rnacentral:rRNA from 1 species
GCUGGCGGCGCGCUUAACACAUGCAAGUCGAACGGGAAAGUGGAGCAAUCCAUGAGUACAGUGGCGUACGGGUGAGUAACACGUGGGUGAUCUACCUUUUAGUGGGGAAUAACCCUGGGAAACCGGGGCUAAUACCGCAUAAGCCCGAGAGGGGAAAGUCGCAAGACGCUGAAAGAGGAGCCCGCGGCCGAUUAGCUAGUUGGUAGGGUAAGAGCCUACCAAGGCAGAGAUCGGUAGCCGGCCUGAGAGGGCACACGGCCACACUGGCACUGAAACACGGGCCAGACUCCUACGGGAGGCAGCAGUGGGGAAUCUUGCACAAUGGGGGCAACCCUGAUGCAGCGACGCCGCGUGAGCGAUGAAGCCCUUCGGGGUGUAAAGCUCUUUCGGCAGGGAAGAUUAUGACGGUACCUGCAGAAGCAGCUGCGGCUAACUACGUGCCAGCAGCCGCGGUAAUACGUAGGCAGCGAGCGUUGUUCGGAGUUACUGGGCGUAAAGGGUGUGUAGGCGGUUCUUUAAGUUUGGUGUGAAAUCUCCCGGCUCAACCGGGAGGGUGCGCCGAAUACUGAGGAACUAGAGUGCGGGAGAGGAAAGUGGAAUUCCUGGUGUAGCGGUGAAAUGCGUAGAUAUCAGGAGGAACACCGGUGGUGUAGACGGCUUUCUGGACCGUAACUGACGCUGAGACACGAAAGCGUGGGUAGCAAACAGGAUUAGAUACCCUG